UACGUAGGGUGCGAGCGUUGUCCGGAAUUAUUGGGCGUAAAGAGCUCGUAGGCGGUGUGUCACGUCGGCCGUGAAAACCUGCAGCUUAACUGUGGGCGUGCGGUCGAUACGGGCAUCACUGGAGUUCGGCAGGGGAGACUGGAAUUCCUGGUGUAGCGGUGAAAUGCGCAGAUAUCAGGAGGAACACCGGUGGCGAAAGCGGCUCUCUGGAACGGUACUGACGCUGAGACGCGAAAGCGUGGGGAGCGAACAGG
rnacentral:rRNA from 1 species